rnacentral:lncRNA from 1 species
AGCAAACAACACACGAAAAACAGAAUCUGUCAAAAACAGAACGGUCUGUAGUAAUAUGUAACUAACGCAAACUUCUGGACUCCAAAACUUCAGCCAAAAUAGGACGACCUAGACAAUUUGUUUAUUGAUCAGAAGCAAUUGGAAUCAAUAUUUUAUCACGUUCUGGUGAUUUUUAACAAUUAUUUUCGUGAACAGAAAGUUUCUCGAAUUUUCAGCAAGAUCAAAUAACUAUCAUCCAAGAAGAUCCUAUAGGUUAAACUUGGCACAAACACUAAUUAAAACAUAAAAACACAUCUAACCAGAGGCUAGAUCAAAUAUUUAUUCCAAAACAGAAGCAAAAAGCAAAAAACUAAAAAAAAAUUGGGUUGCCUCCCAACAAGCGCUAUCGUUUAACGCCCCCAGCUAGGCAUAAGAUUUCAAUGAUGCUCACAUGAACGACAAGAAUUGAAGCACAAAGAGAGCAUCAUAAAACACAUGACAAACAAAUUUAAGUCUAACAUACUUCAUAUGCAUAGGCAUCUUAUAAGCAAACAAAUUAUCAAGGCAAGCAAAAUCUAGCAUAUGCCAGGAAGCGGAAAGAAACAAUAGCAAUCUCAACAUAACGAGGUAAUUUAGGAACAUGAAAAUUUCUACAAACAUAUUUUCCUCUCGCAUAAUAACUAAAUGUAGGAUCAUAAGCAAAUUCAACAAAAUAGCUAUCACAUAACAUAUUCUCAACACGAUCCACAUGCAUGCGAAGUUGACACUCUUCCAAAAUAGUGGGAUUAACAUUAACUAAAGUCAUGACCUCUCCAAACCCACUUUUAUCAAAAAUAUCAUAAGAUUGAACAUACUCCAAAUAUGUGGGAUCUAAAGUUGACACUCUUCCAAACCCGCUUUCAAUAAUAUUGCAAACACUAUUAUCAAUCUCAUAGUCAUCAUGGGGCUUAAAUAAAUUUUCAAGAUCAUAAGAAGAAUCACCCCAAUCAUGAUCAUUGCAACAAGUAGUAGACAUAGCAAAACUAGCAUCCCCAACCUUAGGGUUUUGCAUAUUAUUAGCACAAUUGACAUCAAGAGAAUUUAUAGUAAAAUCAUUGCAAUCAUGCUUUUUUAUCGAAGGAACUAUCAAAUAUGGGUGCAAUGGCAACGAUCUCAUGUUUAACAUACGGAACUAUAGCAAAUUCAACUUCAUAAAUAUUGGCAUCAUGGCCACAAGAAUAGCAAGCAUCAUGUUCAUCAAGGGAUAUUUCAAUCAAAUCAUCGGUAUCACAAUUAUCUAUAGAUUCGUGCAUAUCAUUAUUUUCUUUAGAAGCAACGGUCAUUCUUUCAAUAAAUUCUUUGACAUAGACAUUAUGAGCAUAGUUUUCAUACCAAUAUUCAAGUAUGUCAAAAUUUUCAGAUUCGUAAAGAGUAAUAUCAUACUUUUCAAUCAAAGAAGCAGCUUCAUAAGAACCCUUAAAAGCAAGAAAUUCUUCAAUUUGUUCGAUAUCAUAAUAGCUAUAAACACCCUUUGCAUAAGAAGAUAAUAUUUCAUUUUCAUUAAACUCACAUAGAUAGGGGAGGUGUUUUUUAGGGUUCUUAGAGCAACAAGUAAUACCACAAAUUUCACAAAGAUUCCAACCAUAACACAGCAAUUUGUUUAUUUGAUUCCAUAAGAGUCUCCCUUUUUUAGACAAACGGUGACGCACAAAAUGAGCAUGCUCAUCUAAAGAUUUCCCAUCAACUAAGCUAGUUGGGGUUUCAGCACGAGCGCAUAAGGAUCGAAGAUGAUCCAAGUAGAACACUUUAAGUGGAUCCAUAUCAAUAGGUGUUUAGCAAGCACAGAUGCAAGCAAAUAGAAGGCACGUGGAAACACAAACAAAAAGGCAUACGGGAAGAAGGCGAAUAAAAUGAAAAGGGUGAAGUGGAGGAGAGGAAAACGAGAGGCAAAUGGCAAAUAAUGUAAUGCGAGGGAUAAGAGUUUGUGAUGAGUACAUGGUAUGUUGACUUUUGCGUAGACUCCCCGGCAACGGUGCCAGAAAUCCUUCUUGCUACCUCUUUAGCACUGCGUUGGUUUUCCCUUCAAGAGGAAAGGAUGAUGCCGUAAAGCAGCGUAAGUAUUUCCCUCAGUUUUUGAGAACCAAGGUAUCAAUCCAGUAGGAGGCCACGCACGAGUCCCUCGCACUACACAAAUAAAUAAAAUCCUCGCAACCAACGCAAUAAAGGGGUUGUCAAUCCCUUCACGGUCACUUACGAAAGUGAGAUCUGAUAGAUAUGAUAAGAUAAUAUUUUUGGUAUUUUUAUGAUAAAGAUGCAAAGUAAAGAAAGCAAAAUAAAAACGGCGCCAGAAAUAGCUUGUUGACGGGAUAUUAAUAUGAUGGAAAAUAGACCUGGGGGGCAUAGGUUUCACUAGUGGCUUCUCUCGAGAGCAUAAGCAUUACGGUGGGGUAAACAAAUUACUAUUGAGCAAUUGACAGAACUGAGCAUAGUUAUGAGAAUAUCUAGGUAUGAUCAUGUAUAUAGGCAUCACGUCCGCGACAAGUAGACCGACUCCUGCCUGCAUCUACUACAAUUACUCCACACAUCGACCACUAUCCAGCAUGCAUCUAGAGUAUUAAGUUCAAAAGAACAGAGUAACACUUUAAGUAAGAUGACAUGAUGUAGAGGGAUAAACUCAUGCAAUAUGAUAUAAACCCCAUCUUGUUAUCCUCGAUGGCAACAAUACAAUACGUGUCUUACUGCCCCUACUGUCACUGGGAAAGGAUACCGCAAGAUUGAACCUAAAGCUAAGCACUUGUCCCAUUGCAAGAAAGAUCAAUCUAGUAGGCCAAACCAAACUGAUAAUUCGAAGAGACUUGCAAAGAUAACCAAUCAUACAUAAAAGAAUUCAGAGAAGAUUCAAAUAUUGUUCAUAGAUAAACUUGAUCAUAAACCCACAAUUCAUCGGUCUCAACAAACACACCGCAAAAGAAGAUUACAUUGAAUAGAUCUCCUCGAGAAUCGUGGAGAACUUUGUAUUGAGAUCCAAAGAGAGAGAAGAAGCCAUCUAGCUAAUAACUUUGGACCCGAAGGUCUGAGGCAAACUACUCACACAUCAUCGAAGAGGCUAUGGUGUUGAUGUAGAAGCCCUCCGUGAUCGAUGCCCCCUCCGUCGGAGCACCGGAAAAGGCCCCAAGAUGGGAUCUCACGGGUACAGAAGGUUGCGGCGGUGGAAUUAGGUUUUUGGCUUCGUAUCUGGUAGUGUGGGGGUACGUAGGUAUAUAUAGGAGGAAGAAGUACGUCGGUGGAGCGACAUGGGCCCCACGACGGUGGAGGGCGCACCUGGGGGGGGUAGGCGCGCCCCCCUACCUCGUGCCUUCCUGGUAGCUUUCUUGACAUAGGGUCCAAGUCCUCUGGAUCACGUUCGUUCCAAAAAUCACGUUCCCGAAGGUUUCAUUCCGUUUGGACUCCGUUUGAUAUUUCUUUUUGUGCGAAACUUUGAAAUAGGCAAAAAACAGCAAUUCUCGGCUGGGCCUACGGUUAAUAGGUUAGUCCCAAAAAUAAUAUAAAAGUGUAUAAUAAAGCCCAAUAAUGUCCAAAAUAGAAUAUAAUAUAGCAUGGAACAAUCAAAAAUUAUAUAUACGUUGGAGACGUAUCACUAGCCAUGUUGGACUGGUUUCUCCUAGCAGUCUCUAGGGAUUUUUGUCUGCGUGGUACCGAAUGGAUCUAGUAUCCAAUCUCUUUAAAUAGGCGCUCUUCCUUGCCUAGAAGGGGUGCUUUUUGCAAAAAUACCCUGACCUUCCGCAUUCGCUCGACACGUUGAAGACGAAGUUAUUUGACGCGCAGAAGCCGAGGGGAGCGACAUUGAUCAACGACCUAUACAUUACUUGGAGGUCAUCGGAGGAGGAACCCGCCUUGCAAUGCCGAAGACAAUUUGUGUGUCGAACACUUCAUUAUUAAAGACUGGUUCGGGGGCUACUGAGGGAGUCCUGGACUAAGGGGUCCUCGGGCGUCCGGCCUGUUAUCCAUGGGCCGGACUGGUGGGUUGUGAAGACAUGAAGGCCGAAGGCUCUACCCAUGUCCGGAUUGGACUCUCCUUGGCAUGGAAGGCAAGCUUGGCGAUAAACUUUGAAGAUUCCUUCCUAUGUAACCGACUCUAUGUAACCCUAGAUCCCCCCGGUGUCUAUAUAAACUGGAGGGUGUAGUUCGGAAAGGAUAUACUCAUUACUCAUAGUCAUAUAGGCUAGACUUCUAAGGUUUAGCCAUUACGAUCUCGUGGUAGAUCAACUCUUGUAGCACUCAUAUUCAUCAAGAUCAAUCAAGCAGGAAGUAGGGUAUUACCUCCAUAGAGAGGGCCCGAACCUGGGUAAACAUCGUGUCCCCUGUCUCCUGUAACCAUCGACCUUAUACGCAUAGUUUGGGAUCCCCUACCCAAGAUACGCGGGUUUUGACACCGACAGGGGCAAAUCCCUCCUAUUCCUCGGUGGCAGACAGUCGCCCCGUGAGACGAUGUGAACGGCGAGGGAGAGGAUGGCGGGGAAGCAUCACGGGCCAACUGUUUUUCUCCUCUUGCAGUUCGGUUCGGUCGACGAAGACUCCACCGGCUCGCUCUGGCACGACACCCUCACAAACGGCACCCUAUAGAUGCUUGAUCCUUCAAUCUCUGGUGGAUGCUCCAUCCGGGAUCGAUACUCCCACCACGGCUCCCUCCUGAUCAGAUUCGGUGAAUCUGUUUGCUCCAUGGCCCAGAGGAGCAGCUCUAUGUACUCCCGCGCGACUCCCUCCGGGAGUAUCGCCGCCUUUUGGCUCCGUUGCAGAUAUUUGUCCAUGGAUGUCGCCAUCGCCGCUAGUUCGUCCUUGUUGUCAAACCAAGACUGUAUCUCCAACAUCCUAGCUAGCUUCACAGGGUCGCCGUCUGCGAUCCUCACGUAUAGGUUGUACUCCUCCAUCGAUCUACUUCUCCACAGCACCUUCACUCGCCGGCGGUGGUUUUUGAAUGAAGAGGAGAGGAGUAGCGCUGGUUUUGGUUUAGAAUGGGAGAGGGGCAACGCUGGUUUUGGAUUGGAACAGGAGAGGAGGGCAGUGGUUUUGAAAUGGAAGAGGAGAGGAGCGGCGCUGGAUUUAGAUUGGAACACAAGAGGAGCGGCGGUGGUUUAAGAGGAGAAGAGCGGAAGAGCGGCGCUGGUCUUGGAAGUAUUUUUUUUGUUUUGCGUAUUUUGGGUCAAAGUUUGACCACGUACUGUAUUUGACAAGCAAAAUGUGAAUGCAUGUCACCAAAAAUUGUGACGUUUGGUUCGUAUCUAAAUGUACUUUCAAAUUAUAUUAUUUUUGCAACGUAUAACAUACAUUUUAUUUGGGAAAAUCAAUGUCAAUUAUGACCCAGGAUAAAAGGGAGACUAGUUAAUGUGGGGUCGCUUUCUUAAUUGAAGGGUAAAUUGAUUUUGAUUUUGAUCCAGCCACAGCGCGCCGGCCCUCUCGUCCAAUCCUAAAUCGCUGUCGCACGCUCCUCUCCCUCUUCUCCAUUGCAAAACCACCUCCUCUCCUCUCCAUCAUCUCCAUUCCAAAACCACCGUCUCGCCUCUCCCUCUUUUCCAUUGCAAAACCACCUCCUCUCUCCUCGGACGAGGAUCCCCGGACGUAGCCCAUCCUACCAUUGAGACACUGACACAUGGGUCCCACCAAGCGCGGGGCCCACCUGUCAGCGACCGAAAGGCAGGGGAAUCUCUCCUCUCCAUCAUCUCCAUUCCAAAACCACCAUCUCGCCUCUCCCUCUUCACUAUUGCAAGACCACCGUCUCUCCUCCCAUCUUCCAAAGCUAGCACCGGACCACUCAGAACGACAUCUAUGGAGGGGAUGCAGCAGCGAAUCAGGCAGAUCGCCGGCGGCGACCGGGCAAAGUGAGCCAGUUUGAAGGAGAUCCUUACUUGGUUUGACAAUGAGUGGGAGAUUUCAAGGACGGUGAGGGCCAUGUGGCAAUGUCUGCGAAAGAACGAGACGACGACGAUGAGGGCAGCGAUGUAGUCCUCGGCGGCAGUCACGCCGCAGUCCUUCGAGUUCAUUGAGUAUCUCCUCUAGGCGAUGGGCGUACAGGUCGAAGGUAAAGCAUCCAGAGGAUAAUAAAUCGAUCGAGUACGGUGUGCCGUUCGUGAGGGUGCAGAGCCAGCCGGAGCCACAGGAGGCUGGAUGGCGCGACGUCGCUUCCCCUCCGUUCUCCACGGUUCCCUUGACGCUCACCUCGUUUCAACGGCAUCGUUAGGGUUUAAGGUAAGCUUCGCACUAACCUAAUCUUCCAUCUACUGAUGCUUACAAUCAGUGUGACAACUAAUAAAAAUCAUGCUUACAAUCAGUCUCCGAGUACUAUGCCAAUCACCCUAAAAUAGCUCUGGACCUUUGGGUCAAAGUUGUGACAAUGUGUACAAAUAAACAAAAAUAUGUUGGUGCUUCUUUCAGAAAAGAGUACGCCCCUAGAAAACUUCCAAUAUAAGCUACUAGUAUUUUUUUAAGUCUAAGCUACUAGUAUUUGGUUAGAGGAUUUGUUGCCGAGAAAGAUUUGUCCACAGUGAGCGCCACACAUCCCACUGAUGGUGGUGGUUGCCAAUGCUUAGAUGGAGCAGGGUUGGUGUCAGUAAUUUUUACUUGGCGCCUCGCACUCUGCAUAUAUACCGGUUCCAUCCGUACAUUUGUGCAGUGCCACCAAAAUGCAGCUGAAUAACCCUGUUUCCACAGAUAAUGAAAAGGCGUGAUUAGAUUAUAGUGGCACUAGUUGAUGAAACAUACACUAAUAAAUAGAAGAAAUAUUACAUCAUACUGGAAAUUGACCCAAGUCUCCCCGAUACACCUUCUGGCAGUGAUGAACAUCAGUGUACAGCGGUAGUACAAGGAGGGGCAUUGAGACAUUCAAAUCUCUAUUUUUGUGCAGAUCAACUCAAAUUAAGCACCCUAGUUUGCAGAAACGCUUAAACAUUAACAAUGGGACUAGUUGAUGAAACGUACAUUAACAAAGAGAAGCACUUUAUUUAUCUACAUUGGAAAUGAAAUGAUAGAGAGGACCCUCGCUCAAUUUUAACUGUAUUAUUACUUCAUUUUAUCAGUGACACUAGGGUCGAGCAGGUGGCAAACGAGGUGUACCGUGCGUCUCAAGGAUGAAGGCCGGGGGUGCUUAGACUGGGAUGCUGAAGCUGGCUCUUUCAGUCCCUAUCUUCCCCCUGAUGUUUCUGUGGUAGCAUUUGGGUUGUAAUCGAAACUUGGUCGAGCUGGUGCUGCGUCCCCCUACCUGCCUAGCUUAUGUGGCGAACUUGUCUCCUGCUAGUACUCAGUCCCUUCUAGUAGUAGUUGCAUAACUGCCCGUUUACACUGAGAUGUUGUCGGAUAAUGGUUCUCUAUGGUUGGGUUUCUUUAAUGAAAUCGGAGGGAACCCCCUCUUUUGAUAUAUAAAAAAACAGUGGCACUAGCGGUGCCAAACCAUUGCCUCAAAUUAAUAGUGCCACUAGAUUAAGGUGCAAAAUAAUAACAUUACUUCUUUAUCAUGGUAGUGCCAAAACAAUAGCACAAGAGCAGGAUCAACAUGCAGGAUCUUUGGCAAACGGUCAGACCAAAAAGGAACAUACCUCGUGAUUGGAACCAUAUCUGCAGUCAACGCCAUCAUAGAAGGGAUGACACCAGUCACCAACGUGGAUGAUUCAAUUCAUGGGACCUUUUGGUGAAGUUCGCCUAAAAUGAAGCAAUGUCCCAUGAGCUAGCAGCUUCUUCUUCUUUUUUUUUAAGAAAAGGGCUCCAGCCCCGGUUCCAUUUCCAUCAGAAAACGAAACCCACAGAGCUUCUUCAUUAGUUGCAAUAAAAUUGAGCAACAUCAAGGUUGGUCGUGAAGCUCCUGGAGAGUAGGCGGACUAGGACAGUUGCAUCUCUAACGAAAAGAAGCUACUUAUCUUAAUGGGAAAUUUAGCAGGACAUGAAAAAAAGUGCCAUUGAUUCAUAUUACUGGAGGCAUUACAUUGAAAACAACAUUGGUUUAACGUGUCCUUACUUUUAACAGUGCGACUGCUACAUUUUACCAGUGGCAUUACAUAAGAGCGGCUCGGGGCAACAAACAUCAGAAGAGGAUAUCUGGGUUGGUCCCAUUUUUGUUCGGUAUAUAGCCACCUUAUACUGUGUGAGGCUAGCAAAUAUAGUGUUGGACUUACUUUGUUGACUUGUCCCCAGUCCCCACUUUCUUUCCUUUUUCAACCAAUAGAUCGGGUUUAUAUUGAGUUUGUACUGCAUUCCCUUUAUUUCCCUAUUAGACCUAGAAACCAGUUCGAUAGCCAGUCUCUGCUACUUUUCGCCCCCAUUAUUUCCUCUUUCAACCAAGUCCUAGAUUCAGGUAACAAAUCUUCCCCCACCCCCACCCCCUUUUCCCUUGUUUGAACCAAGUACUACUAGAUUCGAGUGCAUGAACUAGUUUUACCUCUUAACAGUAAAAAAUUAGGUGGUUUUCGAACAGCCGAUCGAUCCUAUCUACACGAGGGGGCCUGAGAAAUAGUAAAAGAUACAAAUGCAGCGAUGUCGGGAGCUCGGGAAGUAGAGCAAGGCCGGUUUCGACGGAAUUUAUACCUGAGGGUCGCCGGGACGUCGCUAGGUGGGCGGCGGGAGGCCGGAUCUGCCCACACUACGGCAGCGAGGAAGAAGGGGUGGGAGGCCCUCCCUCGCCAUCGAUGCUUGGGAGAGAACGGCAAGGCACGCUGAUCGGGACGCGCCGACAGUGGGUAAGAGCCGUCGCCGAGGACGACCGCGUGAACGUUGCACCUUCUCACCUUCCCCGGCGGAGAGGAUCCGGCUGGAUCUAUGACCAGCGGUGAGUAGAGAGAGAGAGUGUGUGGCCACCGCUGUCGUGUUUAGAUCCGGAGAGGACGAGACAGUGUGAAGAGAGCACCACUAGCAAGCAAGCGCGGAGGCUCCUGCCUAUAUAGUGGAGUACUAGUUUUCUUUUGUCUACCGGAUGGAGCCGGCUUGACCUCGGCAAUGACUGUCGAGAAGUCUUCAUGCACGUGCCCCGGAGGCGCAGUUGUCGUCACUUUUAUUCGAAGCACGGGAUUAUAACAUAUAACACGAAAAAAUGCCACAUGACAAGAAAUCAUAACCUCACCGCCCCAAGGAGACGAGAUGAAUCUAGACAGACAAACUAGACGAGGAUCAAAGAUCAAAUUAAAGAUAAACUCGUAGAAAAGGGUUUCGUUGAUAGAUGUCCUAAUUAACAUAGCCGGCUUGACCUAGAUGGCAGCUGAGUAGUCUUCGUGCAUGUGCCCCCAAUGACUAGCCCAACUCAGUUGUCGCUGUUUAACCCUCGCAGUGAUCCGAAGCACAUGACACCUAAUUUUGCGAGAUGACAAGAAACCUUUUUUUAGAUUUCUCACCAGAACUAUAGCCCUGUACAACACAGCCUGCACGAUAUGUAGACGAUAGCCAAUCCAGGCGUGUCUGCUGGAGUCUGGUCACAUGCAUGGAUGAAGUGAUCUUCCGAGUCUUGCAGGGAUCGUCUAGGUACCAAGGUGGAGUAUGUACUUCUAUUAACUCACCCGACUUGAGGGGCCGGGGAGCUAUGGUCGGUUCUCAAUUGCGGUCCCACAUGUGUGUGCAAAUGCAAUAUGAUGCGCGUUCCAUUCGGAGACCGGCGUGCCAGACCGACCGACCGUCUGGGGUGUGACGCGAACGCGACGGGCGUGCUGUAUACUCUGUACAUGUGUACCGCCGUUUUCUUCUGGCUUUGCUCCAUGGCACAAUCCAUGGAUACAAAAUUAGUAUACUAUACUAUUUAAAAGUCGAGGGCGGGGCUUUUCCCGCACGGUAGGCGGGGCAGUUCUGCCUAGUCGGUUCGACAGAGACGCGAGAAGAUGAGGGAGUAGGCUGCUGCAAACGUAGGGCUGUGUGAUUUGACAGUGAGUUACUGCUGGACAGAUGGGGCCCGGUGAUUUGACUUGCCAUUAUCAUUUUAACUCCGGCGCUACGACCGGCUUGAGUCUCCCGAUUCCUAACAACCUCCAUACAGGUGCCUCUCCCGAAGCUCCACCAUGUAGAAGUUGGCUCUUGCUUGAGAGCCCACUCCUCCACUUUUUCCUUGCCUCUUUCCCCCACAUACGCAAAAAUGCCAUGUAAAGCGGGCUUAUAGCCCACUAUUGUACUUGAUCCUACUACUGCUAAGCCUGCCACAUAGGCAUAAAGUCUGAUGUGGCAAGUUAAUUAGGAAGAGAGAGACUAGUUUGGUGACCCCAGGAAGAAACGGUGCUAAGCGCGUGUACCUAGAUGAAGCAAACUUAGCAACAAAAAACUAA